rnacentral:rRNA from 1 species
AUUGAACGCUGGCGGCAGGCCUAACACAUGCAAGUCGAGCGGAUGCAGCGGGCUUGCUCCUGGAUUCAGCGGCGGCCGGUUGAGUACUGCCCAGGAAUUUGCCUGGUCGCGGGGGAUAACGUCCUGAAACGGGCGCUAAUAUCGCAUCCGUCCUGUGAGCGAAAGUGGGGGAUCUUCGGUUCUCUUGCUAUCAGAUUAGCAUAGGUCGGUUUAGCUAGUUGGUGGGGUAAAGGCCUACCCAGGCUGCGAUCCGUAACUGGUCUGAGAGGAUGAUCAGUCACACUGGAAGUGAGACACGGUACAGACUCCUACGGGAGGAAGCAGUGCGGAAUAUUGGGCGAUGGGGGAAAGCCUAAUACAGCAAAGCCGCGUGUGUGAAGAAGGUCUUCGGAUUGGAAAGCACUUAAGGUUGGGAGGAAGGAAAGUAAGUUAAUACGUGGCGGUUUUGACGGUACCAACAGAAUAAGCACCGGCUAACUUCGUG